ACCGGAUGCCGAUCUCGAAAACCUGUCCCAGUUCGGACUGGAGUCUGCAACCCGACUCCACGAAGUUGGAUUCGCUAGUAAUCGCGCAUCAGCCAUGGCGCGGUGAAUACGUUCCCGGGCCUUGUACACACCGCCCGUCAAGCCAUGGGAGCCGGGGGCGCCUGAAGUCCGGGACCGCGAGGACCGGCCUAGGGCGAAACUGGUGACUGGGCUAAGUCGUAACAAGGUAUC
rnacentral:rRNA from 1 species